CUGAAGACGAUAGCGCAAUACUAUAGCCAAGUAAUCUACAGAUCGGAACUAAACAUGAUCAUCGACAGAGUUAUCUACAACGGCUUCAACACUUUGAAUCCAGGGACUGCUAUGACGAGCCCAGUUUAUAUGCAGUCUUUUUAUCCGGAUAGCUGUUUUAUGGAGCUCAACAACUCUUUCUGUACUCCAAACGAAUUUGAUGCCUCAGGCAAUGUUGGAAGCCCAAUUUCAUCAACAGCAAGUACUGAUACAAAAGAGUUUUCCAUGAGUGAGGUGCGGUCUUUCGAACGUUUCCAAGGUGUGCGUGUGAAGAAUACUGUGAAAGAACUGAUCAUGCAGAAACGCCGCAACCACAGGGUUCAUCAGCAUCCUGAGGGAGAAUGCACAGCCUUGAUAGCCCUUCUCCAAGGGCAGAAGAGGACUGCAGACUGCAUGAUAACAGAUUUUCCUGCUAAAAGACUUUGUACUUCAAAGGGAAUGCAGGUAAUUUAUUACUUGUGGUUAUAUUGUUUAAUUCAAUACCCUUGAACUUUCAGCACAAUCCUUUAUGUUUAGGCUCUAUGUAGAACAGGUUUUAUGGCCCCAG
ensembl:lncRNA